AUGAAAUCAACAACGACGUCUCUUGCGCUCUCCCACUCUCUCUCUUUCUUUCUUCUCUCUCUCUUCUACUUCCACCGACCACCACCCUGACCAUCAACGGAAACGAGCUUCACCGGAAGAGGAGCGAUGACCGAAAAUAGUGGUAGCAGCAACGGAGUAUGAAUAGAGAGAGAGAGGAAGCACACGCACAAGGCAGUGGCUUCUCUGGCCGUUUUUGAUCAUUCCCGGUGCCGGAUCCGCGCGAUGCCGGUGGCCUUCAACACCUCGUAGCUCCAGCUUCACUUGCUGUUGAGAUUGAAAGUCUUAGUUGCUGAGAGAUUGGGAGCCUCAGCUGCUUCUAAUUGUGAAUCAAUUACUCCGGAGAUUGAUUUGAAAAAGUGAUGUGCUCCUGAUACUGUAUCCAUGACAAAAUUGGCUGAGGUUAGAGCAAUUCUUUGAUGUCCAUGAAUAAGAAAGAAGCUACCCUGGAGGAAUUCACGUAGAGAUGGCUGCCCAAAAUGUGACCGAGUGCAUUGGUGAGUUUAGAACAUUAACUUUUAAUGACUUGGGCUCCGCUAUUGCACACACUAUGACCUGAGGCUUAAUGCUUCUCAAUCUCUAGAGCUAGCAUUUAUCAUCACAGAGAGACUUAGAAAAACAAGGAUGGGAACCUAAUGCUUGCUUUCCUUAAGCCUGUAAGGCGUAACCAGAGAGCUAAGGUCUUGUAUUAUUUCUUAGCGCUCAGCUGCCUUAAUAUAUUUAGUGAAUAAAUGCCAUGCUUUCUAUUUCAAUGCUCGUGCUGUAACCACUAGUUGCCACACAACAAUUCUUUCCAACAAAUGAAAGCAACUUUGGAGCCCUGCAACACAUAGCUUGCCAUGCAAAACAUUUCUUGUAUCUGUUUCUUUGAAUUAAUUUUAGAAGCGAAGGGAUUUUUCUUUGACCA